UACGAAGACUCCAAGCGUUAUCCGAAUUUAUUGGGCGUAAAGCGUACGUAGGGGGCUUAAUGCGUCCACCGUUAAAUCUCACUGCCCAACAGUGAGGCCGCGGUGGAUACGGUUAAGCUAGAGGAUGCGAGAGGUCUGUGGAACGCACGGUGUAGGGGUGAUAUCCGUUGAUAUCGUGCGGAACACCAAAGGCGAAGGCAGCAGACUGGCGUAUUCCUGACCCUCAGGUACGAAAGCGUGGGUAGCGAACGGG
rnacentral:misc_RNA from 1 species